CAGAGGGUGCGAGCGUUAAUCGGAAUUACUGGGCGUAAAGCGUGCGUAGCCGGUUAUUUAAGUCGGGUGUGAAAGCCCCGGGCUCAACCUGGGAAUUGCAUUCGAGACUGAAUAGCUAGGGUACGGUAGAGGGAAGUGGAAUUUCCGGUGUAGCGGUGAAAUGCGUAGAUAUCGGAAGGAACAUCAGUGGCGAAAGCGACUUCCUGGACCAGUACCGACGUUCAGGCACGAAAGCGUGGGGAGCAAACAGGAUUAGAUACCCUGGUAGUCCACGCCAUAAACGAUGAGGACUAGACGUUGGAGGGGUAAGCCUUUCAGUGUCGUAGCUAACGCGCUAAGUCCUCCGCCUGGGGAGUACGGCCGCAAGGUUG
rnacentral:rRNA from 1 species